rnacentral:rRNA from 1 species
UACGUAGGGUGCAAGCGUUGUCCGGAAUUAUUGGGCGUAAAGGGCUCGUAGGCGGUCCAUCGCGUCGGGAGUGAAAAGCUGGGGCUCAACCCCAGUCCUGCUUUCGAUACGGGUGGACUAGAGGUAUGCAGGGGAGAACGGAAUUCCUGGUGUAGCGGUGAAAUGCGCAGAUAUCAGGAGGAACACCAAUGGCGAAGGCAGCACUCUGGUACGUGACUGACGCUGAGACGCGAAAGCGUGGGGAGCAAACAGG